rnacentral:rRNA from 1 species
UACGUAGGGGGCAAGCGUUGUCCGGAAUUAUUGGGCGUAAAGAGCGCGUAGGCGGUCCGAUAAGUCGGCUGUGAAAGUCAGGGGCUCAACCCUUGAAAGCCGGCCGAUACUGUCGGACUAGAGUCCGGAAGAGGCGAGUGGAAUUCCCGGUGUAGCGGUGAAAUUCGUAGAUAUCGGGAGGAACACCAGUGGCGAAGGCGACUACCUGGCCUGUUCUUGACGCUGAGGCGCGAAAGCUAGGGGAGCAAACGGG